rnacentral:sRNA from 1 species
AAAUCCCCUACCAAUAAAAGUAAAUAUUUUAAAAAGCAUCUCAUUUUGUGAUAAAAAUUGAAUAUGUAAAUUUUAGACGAUAGAACGUAAUAAUUCUGUCGUUUUUUUG